GGAUUAGAUACCCCAGUAGUCCUGGCCGUUAACGAUGGAUACUAGCUGUUGCGGGUAUCGACCCCUGCAGUGCCGCAGCUUACGCGAUAAGUAUCCCGCCUGUGGAGUACGCACGCAAGUGUGAAACUCAAAGGAAUUGACGGGGACCCGCACAAGCGGUGGAACAUGUGGUUUAAUUCGAAGCAACGCGAAGAACCUUACCAGGACUUGACAUCUAGCGAAUCUUCCAGAAAUGGGAGAGUGCCUUCGGGUACGCUAAGACAGGUGGUGCACGGUUGUCGUCAGCUCGUGUCGUGAGAUGUUGGCUUAAGUCCCGCAACGAGCGCAACCCUCGUUGUUAGUUGCCAGUAACGGCAUGCUGUUACUGUGCUCUCUAGCGAGACUGCCGGUGAUAAACCGCACGAAGGUGGGGAUGACGUCAAAUCAUCAUGCACCUUAUGUCAUGGGCUACACACGUGUUACAAUGGGUGGGACAACGAGCAGCUAGCUAGCGAUGGUGAGCAAAUCUCNUAACCCCACUCCCAGUUCGGAUCGCAGUCUGCAACCCGACUGCGUGAAGUCGGNAUCGCUAGUACCGUAGNAUCAGCACGCUGCCGGUGAUACGUUCCCGGGUCUGUACNACACCGCCCGUCACACCAUGGGAGCUGACUACGCCCGA
rnacentral:rRNA from 1 species